rnacentral:tRNA from 1 species
GACCUCGUAGCUCAGCUGGUAGAGCGCGUGACUGUUAAUCACGAUGUCGCAGGUUCGAGUCCUGCCGAGGUCG